UUCCUUCGUGACGACCACUGUUGUCUUUCCAGCUUGAGCGGAAUGGCAAAGAAAAGCGGACCACGACUCUGGGUUCUCUUCCUUCGUGACUCCACGUUGGAUCGAAGACCCGUCGCCAUGUCUACGAGGCACGCAGACACACUGACAUCAACAGCUGGUGACCAUUUGUCUACCCUCCCUGGUGCUCGCUCACACCACAAGUGUGCUCACGCCUCUUCACACUGCGAAAGCUGCCCUACUUUCUGCACAAAGAGGUUAACAUAGCAACGCCACAACACCGCACCCUGGAUGAGUAAUCAAUCAGCCGAUGGAAAGACCAAGGAAAACGGGAGCUGCAUUAACUGUUCUCAACGAGGCCUUGCGACAACAAGCCUUACAGCACUGUCCAGGGUCACAGAGAGAGCUGGUUGAACGUGCGAUAAACAAGGCUUAACGCCGAAGGCCACAACUGAGUGCUAUUAAAACUGUCGACGAACAGGGUCAACAGAUAGAGCUGCAUACCAGCAAUCCAACACAAUGGAAUGCUUCCUCGAACACUGCUGUCUAAAUGUACUAAAAUGACAGUUCCAUUCUUCAGCAGGUUCUGCAGCAAGAAUCAAGCUCUUACAGUCAGUAUCAAAGUUACACAUAUAGAUGUGUGGAAAAGUAAAAUCACAAAAAGUGGUAAUUUCUUAAAAGAUGAUCUGUUUUGGUACUGUAUUUGCUAUGUUCCUAACCAAAUACAGCUGCAAUAACAUGGUAUGAAAUAGUUCAUUUUUCACAAUACCAAUAUUACUCUGAAUAUUUUCACAAUUUUUGGAGUGUAUUUUAAUUAGUAUCUAACUUCUGAAAAUAAAUGGAUUGGUGGUGUUGAAGGCAGGCUGAAAGCUAAAGGGAGGCAAUCUUAUUUUCACUACUUAAAUUAUCAGUACAAUGAACAAAAAGAAAUUUUACUUUCUAAAUUAGCUGUUUUUUCCACACAUGAGUUAGUUUAAUUUUUAAAAGAUCAUAGAUGGCGUAUUUUUGGGGAACAAACAAAACCACUCUAGUAGUAAUCUAUCUUGUGUGAUAUUCUUUUCUGAGGAAGAUCUACUGUGCUUGACAAUCCAUAAAGCGCCAGAACCAACCAUAUCUGGAGUAACGGUUUCUUCUGCCAUUCGUCGUAUGAUUUUGUCUACAGCCAUAUUUUCUCCACUUCCAUCACAGUAAAUCUGACAAUUUCUCAUCUUGAACCGCUUUGCUACAUUCUGGAUUCUGGAUCAAUGUGCAUCAACGCGAACUGAAAUUUUCUGAUGUGUUGGGAUCUGUUGUGCAACGCCUCUUCCGCCUGUGUGUGCAUGCAGGACAUGGGUGGAAGUUUCCAUGGUAGACCAGUACAUUGGACAGACUCAUCUCAGAAAACCGACGUAAGCAACUGCCUCAUGUGCCAAAGCUGGCCUAAUGAAGGCUUCCAAUCCCAGCUACCAAGACUUUUCUCUAUAUAAUUAUGUGUGCAGGGGACUACAAAUGUGCAUUUCAAUGUGUGAGUGUGUGUGUGUUGCAUGCUUAUCAGAUUAGUAUAAUUUUUUUUAAAGCAUGUUAAGCCUACAUGGGAAUAGCGCUAUAUGAAAACACUAAUAUGAUUAUUAUUACCAUUAUUUAGGCUGAGCUUUUGUUCUGCAAUCAAAUUAAGCAUGCACAUAAAUAUGUGUAUAUAUAUAUACACAAGGAAACUGCAAGGUAGCUCUUCCUUAAAACUAACUAAUCAACCAAUGUAGACUGCAACAAACUAACUCUUCUUCAGCUAUGUGGUUUGGUUGCUAUCCUGCAAAAUGUAUUGCUACAAUAUGUGAUCAAGUAGUAGUUAAACAUGAGGAGAAAUGAAAACUUGCAAGUGUAACAUUUUUUUUUUAAAAAAACCUAGUUGUUUGGCAGUUUUCCCUGAAACGAUCAUAAAAUAGCAUUCACUUUUGUACAAUAAAAAUAUAGAAAUAAAACUGGAAGGAAGGUAACAAAAGUAAAUACAUUAAUGGAUGGUUGAAUAAUGAGAGAAUGGACAAUGAGAGAAGGGGAAAAAGGAAGCUUAAGGAAGUGAAGAAUAUAAAGAGGGCAACUGGCAGACGGUAAGAACCAAAACAAUUACACAGUCAUUUUAAAGACUUGCACGCAGGAAAAAAAAAUGAAUUUACAACUGAAUGUAUAAUGAACAUUUUUUAAAAACAUAAAAUCAAAUUUGCUUUUAUAAUUUUCUAAGAAUAUGUUCAAAUUCUAUCCGCGUUAUGUUUUUAUACUGUGCUUUAGCAGAUAAAAAAGCUUUUAAAUUUUCUUACUUUUGAAAAAACAUUUACUUAGCUAGGAGGAUCCUUAACACUAUUUUCCAAACACUAGAGAGAACAUUUCAGAUCCAGCGCUAAUCAUACAAAUGAAAAAGUAUAUAAAUAACAAACGUUCUCUCAGUGAUUAGAAUAAGAAUCUUAUGUAAAAACUCCCUUAAGCAGCUUACAAAAAGAGUAAAAGGAAGUACACAAGCCAGAAUGAAAACUUCUUGUGAUAUCCUUGUGGAAGGAUGUAAAAUCUUCCAAGUUUUGAUAGAUUUCCUUUAUCACUUUUACUCUUCAGAAAACUCGACCCUUUCUCCACAACUAAAGAAAUAUCAAAAUGUACCAAGAAGCAGAAGGCAAGUAUGCGAGCACAUGUGUUCUCAUAUAAGUGUGAGAUAGAUAUGAGCUAAACAGGAGAUAAACCAAAAAUGACUUCUGUAGUUUGAGAGCAGUUACUGGGAAAAUGGGGAAAGGAAAACAAGUUGAUCUAUUCAUAUAAUGAUAGCAAGAAUAUGGAAGCAAAGAAAAUAGAAAUUUAUAAGCACACAAAAAAGAUAAUUAACAUUUACACAAACACGCCAAUACACAGAGACAAAGAGACCAAGAAAGAAGCAAAGAAAACUGUUAAGAAACAUCUGCUGUGUUCAGGCUAGUGCACAAGUUUAUUAUCACAUGGUGCCACUAAUGUAUGUCUCAUGAAAGAUAUCAGCACAUUUUAUAAUACAAAUGUGCCAUGGCAAAACAUGCCAGACAGCAUGACACAGCAUUCUAACUUGGGCUUGUACAAUACAGAGCUUAAGUAGAAAACAUCAAAUGGCAGAAAGGAAACAUUAGUUUCUAUGAUACCAGUAGAAUAAUGACAAUGGUGGGCUCUGCUACAAAUUUAGCACCUGGCUUUCAUGCUGUUCCCAGUAUUAGACUUAUAGCAACUGUAACAACAUAAUUGACCAGAUACAUGUUAACAAUGUAACUGAUAAUCUUGUGAACAAUUUUCAGCAUUGCUUUUUUUA